rnacentral:rRNA from 1 species
GAUGAACGCUGGCGGCGUGCCUAAUACAUGCAAGUCGAGCGAACAGACGAGGAGCUUGCUCCUCUGACGUUAGCGGCGGACGGGUGAGUAACCCGUGGAUAACCUACCUAUAAGACUGGGAUAACUUCGGGAAACCGGAGCUAAUACCGGAUAAUAUAUUGAACCGCAUGGUUCAAUAGUGAAAGACGGUUUUGCUGUCACUUAUAGAUGGAUCCGCGCCGCAUUAGCUAGUUGGUAAGGUAACGGCUUACCAAGGCAACGAUGCGUAGCCGACCUGAGAGGGUGAUCAGCCACACUGGAACUGAGACACGGUCCAGACUCCUACGGGAGGCAGCAGUAGGGAAUCUUCCGCAAUGGGCGAAAGCCUGACGGAGCAACGCCGCGUGAGUGAUGAAGGUCUUCGGAUCGUAAAACUCUGUUAGUAGGGAAGAACAAAUGUGUAAGUAACUAUGCACGUCUUGACGGUACCUAAACAGAAAGCCACGGCUAACUACGUG